UGCAGUCGAACGAUGAACCUCCUUCGGGAGGGGAUUAGUGGCGAACGGGUGAGUAACACGUGGGCAAUCUGCCCUGCACUCUGGGACAAGCCCUGGAAACGGGGUCUAAUACCGGAUACGACCACUGAGGGCAUCCUCGGUGGUGGAAAGCUCCGGCGGUGCAGGAUGAGCCCGCGGCCUAUCAGCUUGUUGGUGGGGUGAUGGCCUACCAAGGCGACGACGGGUAGCCGGCCUGAGAGGGCGACCGGCCACACUGGGACUGAGACACGGCCCAGACUCCUACGGGAGGCAGCAGUGGGGAAUAUUGCACAAUGGGCGAAAGCCUGAUGCAGCGACGCCGCGUGAGGGAUGACGGCCUUCGGGUUGUAAACCUCUUUCAGCAGGGAAGAAGCGAAAGUGACGGUACCUGCAGAAGAAGCGCCGGCUAACUACGUGCCAGCAGCCGCGGUAAUACGUAGGGCGCGAGCGUUGUCCGGAAUUAUUGGGCGUAAAGAGCUCGUAGGCGGCUUGUCGCGUCGGUUGUGAAAGCCCGGGGCUUAACCCCGGGUCUGCAGUCGAUACGGGCAGGCUAGAGUUCGGUAGGGGAGAUCGGAAUUCCUGGUGUAGCGGUGAAAUGCGCAGAUAUCAGGAGGAACACCGGUGGCGAAGGCGGAUCUCUGGGCCGAUACUGACGCUGAGGAGCGAAAGCGUGGGGAGCGAACAGGAUUAGAUACCCUGGUAGUCCACGCCGUAAACGUUGGGCACUA
rnacentral:rRNA from 1 species